rnacentral:rRNA from 1 species
AUUUAAUAGAAAUAAUUACUAAUAAUACCUGCUCAAUGAAAUUUAAAUAGCCGCAGAUACUUCUGUGCUAAGGUAGCAUAAUCAUUUGUCUUUUAAUUAAAGACUAGAAUGAAAGGAUUAACAUUUUAUUUAUUAUAUAGAAUUAUAUAAUUCAAAAUUUUUCUAAAUGUAAAAAAACAUUUAUUAUUAAGAAAGACGACAAGACCCUAUUGAACUUAACUUUAGUUUAACUGGGGUAGUUAAUUAAUUAUUAUUUUAUUUAAAAACAAUAUAUAAAUGAUCCAACAAAUUGGCUAUAUGAGCAAGUUACCAUAGGGAUAACAGCGUUAUAAUUUUCUAUAGAUCUUAUAUAAAAAAAAGAUUACGACCUCGAUGUUGAAUAAUUAUUCUAAUAUAAGCAAAAAUAUAAAAAGAUAGUCUGUUCGACUACUAAAUAAUUACA